AUUGAACGCUGGCGGCAGGCCUAACACAUGCAAGUCGAACGGUAACAGGAAGCAGCUUGCUGCUUCGCUGACGAGUGGCGGACGGAUGAGUAAUGUCUGGGAAACUGCCUGAUGGAGGGGGAUAACUACUGGAAACGGUAGCUAAUACCGCAUAAUGUCGCAAGACCAAAGAGGGGGGCCUUCGGGCCUCUUGCCAUCGGAUGUGCCCAGAUGGGAUUAGCUAGUAGGUGGGGUAACGGCUCACCUAGGCGACGAUCCCUAGCUGGUCUGAGAGGAUGACCAGCCACACUGGAACUGAGACACGGUCCAGACUCCUACGGGAGGCAGCAGUGGGGAAUAUUGCACAAUGGGCGCAAGCCUGAUGCAGCCAUGCCGCGUGUAUGAAGAAGGCCUUCGGGUUGUAAAGUACUUUCAGCGGGGAGGAAGGCGAUAAGGUUAAUAACCUUGUCGAUUGACGUUAUCCGCAGAAGAAGCACCGGCUAACUCCGUGCCAGCAGCCGCCGUAA
rnacentral:rRNA from 1 species